CCGUCCUAACGUUAUUCGGAAUCACUGGGCUUAAAGGGUACGUAGGCGGCCCUGGUAGUCGGGUGUGAAAGCCCUCGGCUCAACCGAGGAAUAGCGCCCGAUACUGCAGGGCUUGAGGGAGACAGAGGUGAGCGGAACUGAUGGUGGAGCGGUGAAAUGCGUUGAUAUCAUCAGGAACACCGGUGGCGAAAGCGGCUCACUGGGUCUCUUCUGACGCUGAGGUACGAAAGCUAGGGUAGCGAAGGGG
rnacentral:rRNA from 1 species